rnacentral:rRNA from 1 species
AGCGAACGCUGGCGGCAGGCCUAACACAUGCAAGUCGAACGAACUCUUCGGAGUUAGUGGCGGACGGGUGAGUAACACGUGGGAACGUGCCUUUAGGUUCGGAAUAACUCAGGGAAACUUGUGCUAAUACCGAAUGUGCCCUUCGGGGGAAAGAUUUAUCGCCUUUAGAGCGGCCCGCGUCUGAUUAGCUAGUUGGUGAGGUAAAGGUUCACCAAGGCUACGAUCAGUAGCUGGUCUGAGAGGAUGACCAGCCACAUUGGGACUGAGACACGGCCCAAACUCCUACGGGAGGCAGCAGUGGGGAAUCUUGCGCAAUGGGCGAAAGCCUGACGCAGCCAUGCCGCGUGGAUGAUGAAGGUCUUAGGAUUGUAAAAUCCUUUCACCGGUGAAGAUAAUGACUGUAGCCGGAGAAGAAGCCCCGGCUAACUUCGUGCCAGCCGCCGCCGUAAUAC